rnacentral:rRNA from 1 species
GACAGAGGUGCCGAGCGUUAGGCGGAAUCACUGGGCUUAAAGCGUGUGUAGGCGGGUCCGUAAGUACCUUGUGAAAUCCCACGGCUCAACCGUGGAACUGCUGGGUAUACUGCUUAUCUUGAGCCACUUAGGGGCUGUCGGAACAAAUGGUGGGGCGGUGAAAUGCGUAGAUAUCAUUUGGAACGCCAAAGGUGAAAACAGACAGCUGGGAGUGUGCUGACGCUGAGACACGAAAGCCAGGGGAGCGAACGGG